ensembl:lncRNA
CCCUUUUGGAAUCUUUAUUUAAGAGUGUUAAUGUUCCCAUGUGGCUAUUGGCCUACACACAUGCUUAAAGAGAGAGAGAGAGACAAAUAUCUGGAAUUUCUACUUGUUGGAUCAUUUGGUUAGUUUACCAGAUUCACAUCUGUCAAUGUUUAACCUGACUUGUCACGUUGUUUGCUUUUAUAUGGAGAAAACCGUGUACUUUGGCACUGUCCGUUGGCCAUUUCAAAACAUCUGGUCUGAGUUCCACUGCACGAGUCCUCUUUCAUGUUUUGACCUACUAAGAAGACCAGAAUAAGUAUUUAAGCAUGGGAAAUCAUCCCUGCACCCCAUCUCCAGCAACUAUAGACACUAUUUACAGGGUUGCCCAGGACAGUGGGAUCAUCCCUGACAUCACUCUUGAUGGGACAGUGGCAAACCUCCUGUCCCUUAUUCCAGCACCGCGCUCAACCUGCAGUACACGGCCGUCCAGCAAAACUUCACCACAGACCAGCUGGCAGCUUUAGACACCAACCUCACCUCUAUUUUCGGACAGAGCACAAACGUAUCUUACGGAGGCGUGGGAGUUGUGGCACUCGCCUUAUCUUUCCUGCUUGAAGCUCCUGUAUCCAGUAUUGUCAGUCAAAUGGAUGGUUUGAGCACAGACCCGUUUAAGAAGCCAUUUGGAUCGGAUAACUCUUCGGAAAUCGGCAGCAUUGCGAGCGAAUAUCUCAAACUGGUGUCUAAGAGGGGCCAAUGACAUUGACGAAAUGGGAGAAAUAACUGAACUCUAUGACCAGAAGCUGAAGUAUGCUCUGAUCGAGCUCUACGAGAGAAUGACUGUGGAUCAUCAGCUGAACACGAAUAAUAUAAAGCAGUGGAUCAAUGGAGCAGCAAUCCACCUGCACAUGAGGAUUCAUGGGAUUCGUUUGGCAUCCGUUCCUAAAGGCACGGCCAAAUCACUGCGUUUGUCGUACCGAACGGGGUUGGCUAGGUUAAUGCAGCUCUACACGGCUUACUUGAGGCAGCACGUAGGAGAACGGUCCACCACACAAGGUCCUCCGAUGGUAAAGGCGGGAUUCUUAAUCAUUGAACCCGGUAAGAAGGUCAGACACCGCGUGGUCCAUAACACCUGGCAAUCAGGCUAUUCCCUCGGCGGUCGUGGCCCGAAAUUUAUCUGCACAGAAUAUUGGAAAGAUAGAACGAUUUUUCGAUGAAGCUGGUCAAAUCUUAGACAGAUUGCUUCAACAGAGAGAAACUUUUGAACUUCACAGACGCCGGCGAAUGAAAUCUUAACCGGAUGUGACUUAUUCUGAGGUGAUUUAUUGAGCUGCUUUUUCUAAUACUUCAUAUACUUUAAGCACAAUACAUUCUUAAACUACACAACUAAACUACUUAAAUGUCUGCUAUUUUUGUUUGUAAGUUUAAAUAUUGUCAUAUUCUAUCUAUGCUAAGUGCUGCAUGUAUUAGAAUUAUUUAAUGAAUGAGCAUACUGUUAAUAAAUAAAACCAGUAUCUUGGUGUUGUGUUAUGCAGUUGUGUGUGUGACACUAGAACACACACAUACACACUCAUAUUAUGUACAUAUAUGUAUAUAACUGGGACUUAUCACAUCACUUACAUAUUGUUGCUCUUUUGUUGGCAGCCCUAAUAAACA